CAAGCUAGAGCACAAGCCAGAUGCAGUUCAUCUAAGCGAGCCAGUGCUUUCUGGGACAGGGCCGAUGAGAGAAGAGCUGAGUGGAGUGUGGGACCUGCCAGCCCCCAGAGGCUGGAAGGAGAGCCGUGUUAUUCUAAGAGGACCGGGUGCCAGCCGUGGUCAGGCACCUGGAAGAGGCAGAGCCACUUAGCAGGAUCUUCAUUCCUGCUCGGCCCCCUCCUGCUGAAGAUGAGAGAUGGCUCUGGGGAAAUUCCACUCUGCAACUCAUUUAAGCAGGAUAAACAGAGCUCCCGCUCUGGAAGGUUCGGCCCUGAGCGAAAGGCAUUGGAAUCUGGACUGGGAGCUCAGAUGUCCAUGUGAAGCCCAGAAGAAAGUCCCUGAGCCAGGUGACAUGUGAUGCAGCCGCUCUGACCCCCAAAAGCCGCGGAACCUGAUGAACACCUUUCUCUAGCCAGAGACGCCAUGAUGUCCCCUUGUCCCCAUCGCUGGAAUAAAAAGACCCGAAGUUCCUUAGGCAUGCUGGUUUUCAUCUUAGGACAUGUAUCUGGCUGUGCUCAACUCGAAGAAUUUAGGAACCACAGGGAAGAGAGCCCAUCUGGAGGAACAGAAAGGUGAAUGUUUGGAUUCAGCUGAGAGGAGCUCUGAGGCCGUCAGCACCAGAGGAAGCAAUGUGGAGGCAAAGAGGACAAAGCAGAAAUUCUCCUCC